UACGAAGGGGGCGAGCGUUGUUCGGAUUUACUGGGCGUAAAGGGCGCGUAGGCGGCCCUCCUUGUCGCGUGUGAAAGCCCCGGGCUCAACCUGGGAACGGCGCGCGAGACGGGGGGGCUGGAGUUCGGGAGAGGAGCGUGGAAUUCCCAGUGUAGAGGUGAAAUGCGUAGAUAUCGGGAGGAACACCAGUGGCGAAGGCGACUUCCUGGCCUGUUCUUGACGCUGAGGCGCGAAAGCUAGGGGAGCAAACGGG
rnacentral:rRNA from 1 species